UCUUAACACUGGCGACAUCGCAGCAGCAGCACCUGGCUGCUACCUUUAGCAAACUCCGCUGAGAUCUGACUUUGUAAAGUUCACAUUUUGUCAUAUCUAUCUCCAAACAAUGCAGUCGGAUACUUUGUUGCAUGUCGCCAAUUUCAGCACACUGUUUGUGUGCAUGGUGCUGAAGUUCCCGCAGAUUUUUGUACUGAUGAGAGCGAAAUCAACGACUGGAGUCAGCCUCAACAGUCUUCUGCUCGAGUUGAUCGGGUUCAUUGUUUUUGUUACGUACCAGAUGUACUAUGACUACCCACCUCCAACAUACCUGGAAUAUCCAAUCCUCAUUGCUCAAGAUGUCAUUCUUCUGCUCCUGAUCCUUCACUACAACGGCAGCCUGCGGCAGAGCGUCAUCUACACCUUGGUGUUUGUCGGAGGUUGGAGGCUCCUCACUCUGGAGAAGUGGAUCAUAGAUUUGGCCAUGAGCCUCUGCACAUUCAUCAGUGCAGCCAGUAAAUUUGCACAACUCCAAUGCCUGUGGAAGUCCAAGGACGCCGGACAGGUUAGCGCCCUCUCGUGGGCCAUGGCUACCUACACAUGCAUAGCACGGAUUUACACCACCACAGUGACAACUGGAGACAUGCAGGGUAACCUGGUGUGCGAGAGGGAAACUUCUAGAAGCUUCUAGAUGCUCAGUCAGUUGUAUCUACCAUGUGAAUGGUUCAAAAUGGAUGCUUAUGUUCUCCCAAGUUCUGGUGCGGUUCAUCGUCAUGACUUCACUCAACAUGUGGGUACUGCUCACUGUGCUGUACUACCAGAAACACAGCAGCAGGUCCAAGAAAGAAGACUAAGCUUCAAAGUUGGAUCCUAAAGGCUGACUUGCUAUUCUACAAACCUGCAGUUCACUCGUGUCUUCCAACUCUGUUCGCUGGGGAGAUUACUGGGUUUAUCUGGACACAGCCAGGACCAAAAAACAGGGUAACUGUUAUGGAGGCAGCUUUUGUAAUGGCGAACUCUUUAAAUGGUCAUGUGCUAACAUUUUUACCUCAGUAUUAAACCCACACAUCUUUUUAAAACAUUUCAAUGACUAAAAAUCUGCUGCUUGUAACUAAGAGCACAGACCAAUGAUUUGUCAUACUGUAUGUGGAAAUAACGUUACAGCACAAGCCAUGCAUAUGUGAUCAUCCUACUCAGGAGGAGAAAUACUGUAUUUUGAAAAGCAUUUAUCUUUUCUGAACAAUUUUAAUAAAGCAAACAUUCUAGCUUCUUA